UACGGAGGGGGCUAGCGUUGUUCGGAAUUACUGGGCGUAAAGCGCACGUAGGCGGCUUUGUAAGUUAGAGGUGAAAGCCCGGAGCUCAACUUCGGAAUUGCCUUUAAGACUGCAUCGCUUGAAUCAUGGAGAGGUCAGUGGAAUUCCGAGUGUAGAGGUGAAAUUCGUAGAUAUUCGGAAGAACACCAGUGGCGAAGGCGACUGACUGGACAUGUAUUGACGCUCAUGCACGAAAGCGUGGGGAGCAAACAGG
rnacentral:rRNA from 1 species